GGCUAAUGCAAUGCCUGGAACAAAACACAGUAUUUUUGAUGGAAAAGCUUUGGGGUUUUCUUGCUAUUUUUUAGCUGAAAAGGUUUUCAUGGGAAUUGAAAAGGAAAAUAUAAGAGAGUGGUUAUGCAUUGAUUUCUUGGGUGUCAGGGAUAGGGCAGGAGGAGAACGUAGGAAGAACCGAGGUGGAGCUUUCCAGAUUUGGGGCAGUGUUCGACAUCCGCUUCACUAAGAAACACAGUGAUGGUGGGCUCUGCUGAUGAACUGCCUGGGAUUUAAACUCUGCCACUGCAUUACACUUCAUUUGAUAUAAAGCAAGGUCACUCCUCAUCCUUUAGGUUAUUCAGGAUUAGAAAAUUGAAGCCAUUUGAACCGAGAUGGUAUUUCUUAAUAUAAUAAUGGCCGGGAAAUUGAACCGUAAGAAUGACUUCUUGUUAUUAGUUCAUAGGAGGUGCUUUUUAAAAAUUAGAGUAGAAGGAGGACGACUGCAGCUUAAUCCCAAGAUAAAUCAUCGCUCUGCAAUGGGCAGCAAAGCGCAGGGCUUGAUGUGAUUAGGGGACUUAAAGCUGUGGCAGGGCAAGUUAAAGCCUCGCUAAUGAUUUUAACUAGGAUUACACAGAGAUAAAUAGGACUUCCCAUGCGCUGUCUGUUCUUUGCAUCACUGCAUGUUGCGGGUGGUUUUCACUCAGUUUUUUCAGUUUUUUUCUUUUCUGGAUGUUUCACAGGAAGGGUAAAUCACAACAAACGCACCCAUUUCAUCCCCAUCUCACUGCAGUCACUGAUUUAUCUUAUCUGCUGCAGAAUUCUCGAAGGGUGGAAGACACCAGUGGGAAAAAACAGCAAACCAGUUAAAACAGUUUGAGUUGAAACCCCUUUCUCUCUCCUACUCUGUGUACAUUUAAGCAUGGAACAGCUUUUUAACCAAAGUGAGAACUUGAGCAGAAAGCUGUUGUUUGGGUUAAAAUAUCUCCCAUUUCGGUCCCUGAACAUUCUGACUCUUUGCAUAUCCUAUUCAUUUUUUCCUCCCUCUCGCUUGGCGUUAACCCAGUGGGAAGAGAAGGAAGAUUUUUUUGAGGGUUGGUUUUUUUUUUGCCUUAUUUUUAAGUUUUGCAGGGAAAAAAAAAAGAAGACAGAAAAGCCAUCUCAAAGAUAUACCCUUAUAUUUUCAGUUUUUUUAGAGAUGGGGAAACACAUUUCCUCAAACAUCUGCAGCACACCAGCUGCUCCAGCCUCUGUGUGCUCAUCCAAAUUCCUUCUCCCUUUUCUCUUUCCUCAUCAUCCCCUUCUUUCAAUUUGCUGCUGCCAUUGCUGGUGA
rnacentral:lncRNA from 1 species